GCUGAAUUCACCAGCUGAUUUGGGUUUGGUUUCAGUCUUCGGAAUAUGAAAUUGUUCCUUGAUUUCCAAAUAAGCCAAAGGACAGUCGCAAGUAGCUCAAAAGUUAUAGAUUGGACCAGACUUGUUUCGUCCAUGGACAGAGGAGAAAAAGAUGCUCAAUAGUUUCGGGAUGUUGGUGACAUAGCUCACACAUCGGUUCUGACGCAAAACAAUAUUGAUUCAAAAUAGCUGCAACAUUCUGGCAUUCCAUAAUCGUUCCAUCGAGGAAAAAGAUUGAGUCGUCUGCAAACAAGAGGUGAGAUAGCGUGGGGCAGAAUCUAUUCAGCUUGAUCCCCUUUAUACUUCCAUCCUCCAUUGCCUUUUUCAUCAAAAAAGAUAACACAUUA